rnacentral:pre_miRNA from 11 species
AGAGUGGAAUGUAGCCAAGGAUGACUUGCUGGCAUUUAUUCAGAGUGAAGCAGGAUGCAACAUGAUUUUACCAUACUGCAUACCCUGGCAAGUUGUCCUAGGUUUUUUUUUGCCUUCU